AUUGAACGCUGGCGGCAGGCCUAACACAUGCAAGUCGAGCGGAUGAAGGGAGCUUGCUCCUGGAUUCAGCGGCGGACGGGUGAGUAAUGCCUGGGAAUCUGCCUGGUAGUGGGGGAUAACGUCCGGAAACGGGCGCUAAUACCGCAUACGUCCUGAGGGAGAAAGUGGGGGAUCUUCGGACCUCACGCUAUCAGAUGAGCCUAGGUCGGAUUAGCUAGUUGGUGGGGUAAAGGCCUACCAAGGCGACGAUCCGUAACUGGUCUGAGAGGAUGAUCAGUCACCCUGGGACUGUGACGCGGUCCAGACGCCCAAGGGAAGGAGCAGUGGGGAAUAUUGGACAAUUGGCGAAAGCCUGAUCCCACCAUGCCGAGUGUGUGAAGAAGGUCUUCGGAUUGUAAAACCAUUUAAGUUGGGAGGAAAGGCAGUAAGUUAAUACCUUGCUGUUUUGACGGUACCAACAGAAUAAGCACCGGCUAACUUCGUG
rnacentral:rRNA from 1 species